CCCUUAGCUUUUUUUGAGUAAUUUUGCAAAAAAAUAAAUUGAUUUAUUUUAAUGCCAAUUGAUUGAAAUACGUUUCUUUUCAUUGAAAUAAUGCUUUAAAUACAAAAAAGACAAAAAAAAACAAAAAAUAAAUUCUAAAAAUUUUGAAAAUUUUCCCCUACUCCCCCCUUAGCUUUUUUUGAGUAAUUUUGCAAAAAAAAAUAAAUUGAUUUAUUUUAAUGCCAAUUGAUUGAAAUACGUUUCUUUUCACUCAAAUAAUGCUUUAAAUACAAAAAAGACCAAAAAAAAACAGAAAAUAAAUUCUUAAAAAUUUUGAAAAUUUUCCCCUACUCCAUCCUUAGCUUUUUUUGAGUAAUUUUGCAAAAAAAAAAUUGAUUUAUUUUAAUGCCAAUUGAUUGAAAUACGUUUCUUUUCACUCAAAUAAUGCUUUAAAUACAAAAAAGACCAAAAAAAAACAAAAAAUAAAUUGUACAAAUUUUGAAAAUUUUCCCCCCCUCCCCCUAAGCUUUUUUUGAGUAAUUUUGCAAAAAAAAUUAAUUGAUUUAUUUUAAUGCCAAUUGAUUGAAAUACGUUUCUUUUCACUCAAAUAAUGCUUUAAAUACAAAAAAGACCAAAAAAAACAAAAAAUAAAUUCUAAAAAUUUUAAAAAUUUUUCCCUACUCCCCCCUUAGCUUUUUUUGAGUAAUUUUGCACAAAAAAAUAAAUUGAUUUAUUUUAAUGCCAAUUGAUUGAAAUACGUUUCUUUUCACUCAAAUAAUGCUUUAAAUACAAAAAAGACCAAAAAAAAACAAAAAAAAAAUUCUAAAAAUUUUGAAAAUUUUCCCCUACUCCCUCCUUACUUUUUUUGAGUAAUUUUGCAAAAAAAAAAUAAAUUGAUUUUUUUUA